rnacentral:rRNA from 1 species
GAUGAACGCUAGCUACAGGCUUAACACAUGCAAGUCGAGGGGUAACGAGAGGAAAGCUUGCUUUCCUUGUCGACGACCGGCGCACGGGUGAGUAACGCGUAUCCAACCUGCCCCCAACUAGGGAAUAACCUUGCGAAAGUAAGACCAAGACCCUAUAAUUUCAUCAGAUGUCAUCUGACGAGGAAUAAAGAUUUAUCGGUUGUGUAGGGGGAUGCGUCUGAUUAGCGUGUUGGCGGGGUAACGGCCCACCCAGGCACCGAUCAGGAGGGGUUCUGAGAGGAAGGUCCACCACAUUGGAAAUGAGACACGGUCCAAACUCCUACGGGAGGCAGCAGUGAGGAAUAUUGGUCAAUGGGCGGAAGCCUGAACCAGCCAAGUAGCGUGCAGGAUGACGGCCCUAUGGGUUGUAAACUGCUUUUAUACAGGAAUAAAGUUAUCCACGUGUGGUUAUUUGUAGGCACUGUAUGAAUAAGGACCGGCUAAUUCCGUGCCAGCCGCCGCGGUAA